AGAAAAAAGAAAGGAAGGAAGGAAGAAAGGAAAAAACAAAUCUAUUGGCAGUCGCUUUCGCUUUCCUCUCUGAGAGCACCUUUCUAGAUAACGGCGCCCGGGCGACCGCCCCUUUCUGCACACGGGCUCGUCGGACCAUCCGUCACAGAGCGGCGGCGUCUGAUUGGCUCCUAACCUUCGGGGCGGGAGGUAGGAACAAAGUUUGGCAUCUAGACCGGCGCGGUUUGGCCACAGGCGAGACCCAGGGCUGCGGGGGCGACAGGGACGGAGGGACGUCCUUCUCCUGGGGCCGUCUGGGACUGGAGGACACUUCCCACCUGAUGUGCACCUUGAGACAUUCCAAGGGCCUCGGGCUCACUUCCGGUUUGGCUGGCCCAAGGCUGCAUUAAAAGAAAACCAGUAAAGCACCUGUCUGAGGAGGCCUCCAUUGACUGCAUGGUUCUUGCCGGGACCGGAAGCUGACAGCACCAGCUCCGGGCAGCAGCAGUUCAGGCUGUCCUGAGCUUUAGCAGGAGACUGAAGGUUUCCAGAGACACCUGUGCCUGAGCGUCCUAGGCUGCCAGCGGCUCGUGUGGAGAGAACCUUCCAGAGGCGUGGGCUGUCACCAGGAAUUCUGGACUGGGGGAUGACAUUCGUGCAAAGCCUUGAGGUCACCUCUGCCAACCAACAACACAGCUUUUGACUGCAAGGCUGCCUGUGGGAGGUGGGAAUGUCGCUCUAUAGUGUCCUGGACAUUGGGUAGCAGUUUACUAUAACCCCCCCAAGCAGCACCACCCACUGAGGAGCAAAAGCUGGGUGCACUGUUCAUUCAAAUCACCAGUUAGUGCAGUGCUGACCUCGAGAGCACAGAGGCCUGGGACUGAUUCCUAGCCCUCUGGUGACAGCUGGCACAGUGUUCACAUCUGUAACCCCAGUACUCGGGAGGUAAAAGCAGGGGAGUCAGGAGAUCAAGGCCAUCCUCAGCUACACAGGGGGGUUAGGGCCAGCUGGCCUACAUGAGACCCCUUGUGAAAAAACAAUUGCUUUAAAGGUUGAGGCAGGAGGCUGAAGUGAAGUCAAGGCCAGUCAGGGCUGCAGGAUGAGUUCCAGGCCAACAGUGACUACAGUGUGAAACCUUGACUCAAAAAAUGAAAACAAAACCCACCAAAAGGCAGCGAGGUCUUUAAUGAAUGAGGCUGACGAGAGCUUGAGUCUUUCAUGACUAUCCCUGGAGGGGCAUAGUGCGCUGAGACUCAGGCUCAGUCUACAAAGCGCUGCACCUAGCCUGCAGCUACCAUUGGUCGACACGUGUACUUCACCAAGAUGAGCAGGGUCAAACCUCCCGCACUUCCUGUCCAGCCUCAGCAGCCUUCACAGUCCAGGCACUGCCCCUGGAGCCAGGGGUGGAUGUGGUGAGGGUCCCAGACCUGUGCCAAGGAAUGCCCUGCAACCAGGAGAGAGACCUGCACCACUGGGUUCUUCCUGGGUUUCUUCAGGGGAAAGGCUCCCAGGCCCCUUGAACUGAAGUAGGUGGGUCAAUACGAGGCUCGUUGGUGUUUGCUGGAAUAGUGCAUUCCCCCAGCUGGGGGAUGAUCAGGGAGAAGGAAGACUGCCUAGUAUGCCUGAGCUCUUAGUUCUCUCCCCAGCUCCAAAGCGUGAAUAAAAAUCCACCUAUGACCCCGAGGAGGACACAGGGCUCCCCAGCUAGUUAGAGAAGGCCAGGGUGCCGUGUACGGAAGCCAGCUCCUUGUCCCACUGGAGAGAAUGGUAGUUGCCUCUGGGGCCAGGUGUCUUCACCCAGUGACCUUACACUAGUGCAGUGUCCCUUCCUGUACAGGUCUCCAGCCAGACGCAGCAGCCUAUUCUCCCUCCGUCUAGAUUAGGAAGGAACAAGUGUCCACAGUCUUGAGGGAGGCCCAUGCCAGGGACCCUGUUAGCAGGUCUGGGAAGGAACAGGGCUGCCAGUUUCCCAGCAGACCUGGCCCCUCCCCUCUGUUGCUCUCAGCACCCUUUCCCAUGUUACUGGGAUUUCCCAGCAGCCAGCUCACACUAUUACCCCUGCUCUGUUAGAGCAUCAACAACCCACUAGCACUCCUCAGGGGUGGAUACCUGGAGGCUGAGGCAGCUGACAAGGCCACCCCUGAGUUUCACCCAUGAGCCCUGCAUUUGACGCUUGCUGGGAGCCUGUGCUAGCCUGUGCAGAAUGUGAUGGGGUCUUACAGACCUGGAGCCCAUUUCCAAGAUCUGGAAACUGAGGCUCCACAAGGGUGCUAGGGUGAACUAGAUCUAUGAGCCUCUCCCCAAGGGCUCAGAGGAGAGGCAGGGAGUGAGUUGGUGCCCUCAUCUCUGGAUUCAUUAUCAUCCUGGACUACAUAGAGAUCUGCCUCAAAGAUACAGAAACACACAGCUGAAUCACAGGACAUGCAAAGUGCCUGGUGCUUGAACAGUGUGUUACAAUUGUAGCCAUUCUUGUUAUCUGUGAUGCUGUGGCCAAACACAGGGACCCUGCCACAGCCUUGCCUGGUUCAGCCUCCUGGUGUGUGCCCACGGCGUGCAGUCCUGAUUUCUGGCUCUGUGUGUCACGCUUUAGGCAGCGUGACCAUGAAAUCCUUGCCUGAUGCAUUCUGUACUUUGCAGCAAUGCUUUGACAUCCUUUAAGUCCCAGUGGGAACUUGGGGUCAAAGUUCGCUAGUAUAACUGAAAGAGACAGGCUGUGGGGGUCGGUGAGAGGGCAAGGUCUUUGCAAAUGAGGCUAGCCCAAGACCUCCUACUCAUCCAGUGUUAGGCAGAGGCCUUCUGCCUGUCAGAAGGAGCGGCUCCCCUCUUGUUACUGUGGGUAACAGCAUCACUAAGCAAACAUGGAUCUGUCUGGGACGAUGGCUUUGUGAGUAAAAUGGGGACAUUAGUACAGAUCUCCAGCAGCCAUGUCAAAACAAGGCACGUGGCAUCUAUCUAUAACCCCAGCCCUGGAGACAAGUUGAUGCUGGGAGCUGGCUGGUCAGGCAGCCUAGACAAAUGGUUGAGAUCCGUGUCAGUGAGAGACCCUGUCUCAAGAGAUCUAAGGAGGAGAGUACAUGAUUAAAAUAGCUGCUGUUGA